rnacentral:rRNA from 1 species
ACUCCUACGGGAGGCAGCAGUGGGGAAUAUUGCACAAUGGGGGAAACCCUGAUGCAGCCAUGCCGCGUGUGUGAAGAAGGCCUUCGGGUUGUAAAGCACUUUCAGUAGGGAGGAAGGUAGUGUAGUUAACACCUGCAUUAUUUGUACGUUACCUACAGAAGAAGCACCGGCUAACUCCGUGCCAGCAGCCGCGGUAAGUACGGAGGGUGCGAGCGUUAAUCGGAAUUACUGGGCGUAAAGCGCAUGCAGGCGGCCUGUUAAGUCAGAUGUGAAAGCCCGGGGUCUUAAACCUCGGAAAUUGCAUUUGAAACUGGCAGGCUAGAGUCUUGUAGAGGGGUUAGAAUUUCGAGGUGUAGCGGUGAAAUGCGUAGAGAUCGUGAAGGAACUACCG